rnacentral:rRNA from 1 species
UACGUAGGGCGCGAGCGUUAAUCGGAAUUACUGGGCGUAAAGCGCGCGUAGGCUGUUGUGUAAGUUGGGGGUGAAAUCCCACGGCUCAACCGUGGAACAGCCCUUGAUACUGCGCGACUUGAAUCCGGGAGAGGGUGGCGGAAUUCCAGGUGUAGGAGUGAAAUCCGUAGAUAUCUGGAGGAACAUCAGUGGCGAAGGCGGCCACCUGGACCGGUAUUGACGCUGAGGCGCGAAAGCGUGGGUAUCGAACAGG